UCAGAUGCCCUUCAAGUAUCUUUCGCAAAACCCCGUCAGAGCCGGAAGGCAGCAGCGGUAUGCGGAACGAACUGUGAUUGGGAUUAUCUG
rnacentral:SRP_RNA from 1 species